CAGUCGCCGCGGGAAUACAGAGGGUGCGAGCGUUAAUCGGAUUUACUGGGCGUAAAGCGUACGUAGGCGGCUUCUUAAGUCGGAUGUGAAAUCCCUGAGCUUAACUUAGGAAUUGCAUUCGAUACUGGGAAGCUAGAGUAUGGGAGAGGAUGGUAGAAUUCCAGGUGUAGCGGUGAAAUGCGUAGAGAUCUGGAGGAAUACCGAUGGCGAAGGCAGCCAUCUGGCCUAAUACUGACGCUGAGGUACGAAAGCAUGGGGAGCAAACAGGAUUAGAUACCCCAGUAGUCCCUGUCUCUUAUAC
rnacentral:rRNA from 1 species